CAUCCGUGAAUUGACCUUCCCGUGAAGAGGCGGGAAUAGAACAAUAAGACGAGAAGACCCUAUGGAGCUUCAAUUAACUGACCCAAAGAGAUAAAAACCUAACCAACAGGUAUAACAAGUCCCCACAUGGGCCAGCAAUUUAGGUUGGGGUGACCUCGGAGAACAAAAUAACCUCCGAGUGAUUUUAAAUCUAGACCUACCAGUCAAAAGUAUUACAUCACUUAUUGAUCCAAAACACUUGAUCAACGGAACAAGUUACCCUAGGGAUAACAGCGCAAUCCUAUUCCAGAGUCCAUA
rnacentral:rRNA from 1 species